AGGAGCGGGUGAAGAGUGUGGAAGCGUGUCCGGGGUCUAGGUCAAAGUCUCCCUGGUUAAGUCUUGAAGGAUUAAUAGGAUGAGAGAAGAGAGACUGUGGUGAUGAAUUCUAAGCAUGGAGACCAGCAAAAGUCAUCUUGGGACAUGAGAGAAUAUGAUGCAUCUGGACUAUGCCAGCAAGAAAGCAAGAUGUUUUGUCGGAUGAUCCAGAGAGCACUAAAUCCUGCCAACAGCUACAUGAAUUUUGAAAGAGAAUCUUCCCUGAUAAGACUUCAGUGCUGGCUAACAUCCUUCUGAGGGACACCAAAGCGGAAGAGCCAGUUAAGCUGUAUCCAUAUUCCUGAUUCACAGGAACC